UAUAACCUGCUAGACAGGGAAACUGCGUACGGCUCAUUACACCAGGCACAAUUUACUGGACCUUGACAAACUUACUUGGAUAACUGUGGUAAUUCUAGAGCUAAUACAUGCACCAAAGCUCCGAUCCUUCGCGGAGAGGAGCGCAUUUGUUCGCCACAAAACCAAGCGCCUCCCAAGGCGUUCAGUGUUGACUCAGAAUAACUAAGCUGAUCGCACGGUCUUGCACCGGCGACGUGUCUUUCAAGUGUCUGCCUUAUCAACUUUCGAUGGUAGUAUACAGGACUACCAUGGUUGUGACGGGUAACGGAGGAUAAGGGUUCGACUCCGGAGAAGGGGCCUGAGAAAUGGCCACUACGUCUAAGGAUGGCAGCAGGCGCGCAAAUUACCCACUCUCAACAUGAGGAGGUAGUGACGAGAAAUAACGAGACCGUUCUCUUCAGAGGCCGGUCAUCGGAAUGGGUACAACUUAAACCCUUUAACGAGUAUCUAUGAGAGGGCAAGUCUGGUGCCAGCAGCCGCGGUAAUUCCAGCUCUCAAAAUGCAUAGAAUUAUUGCUGCGGUUAAAAAGCUCGUAGUUGGAUCUGUGCUGGCCGCCCGGUCUGUCCACUGGGCAUGCACUGGUGCGGCCGGCUUUCCUGCCUGGUUCCUCCCCGGCGUUGGCCUUCACCGGUCGGCGUCGGUGGCCGGGCGAGUUUACUUUGAACAAAUCAGAGUGCUUCAAACAGGCGUUUCGCUUGAAUGUUCGUGCAUGGAAUAAUAGAAGAGGAUUUCGGUCCGAUUUUAUUGGUUUUGCUGACCGAGAUAAUGGUUAACAGAGACAAACGGGGCCAUUCGUAUUGCUGCGUGAGAGGUGAAAUUCUUGGACCGUAGCAAGACGGACUACAGCGAAAGCAUUUGGCAAGAAUGUCUUCAUUAAUCAAGAACGAAAGUCAGAGGUUCGAAGGCGAUCAGAUACCGCCCUAGUUCUGACCGUAAACGAUGCCAACUAGCGAUCCGCCGGCGGAUUUAUUCGCCCUGGUGGGGAGCUUCCCGGAAACGAAAGUCUUCCGGUUCCGGGGGAAGUAUGGUUGCAAAGCUGAAACUUAAAGGAAUUGACGGAAGGGCACCACCAGGAGUGGAGCCUGCGGCUUAAUUUGACUCAACACGGGGAAACUCACCCGGCCCGGACACCGUAAGGAUUGACAGAUUGAUAGCUUUUUCAUGAUUCGGUGGAUGGUGGUGCAUGGCCGUUCUUAGUUCGUGGAGCGAUUUGUCUGGUUUAUUCCGAUAACGAGCGAGACUCUGGCCUACUAAAUAGUUGGCGCAUUGCUACUGUGUGUACAACUUCUUAGAGGGAUUUUCGGUGUUCAGCCGCACGAAAUUGAGCAAUAACAGGUCUGUGAUGCCCUUAGAUGUCCGGGGCUGCACGCGCGCUACACUGGCAAAAUCAGCGUGCUUGUCCUUCCCCGAAAGGGGUUGGUAAACCCGUGAAAAUUUGCCGUGAUUGGGAUCGGACAUUGCAAUUAUUGUCCGUGAACGAGGAAUUCCUUGUAGGGGCGAGUCAUCAACUCGCUCUGAAUACGUCCCUGCCCUUUGUACACACCGCCCGUCGCUGCCCGGGACUGAGCCACUUCGAGAAACUCGGGGAUCGCUGGCUUGACGGCCUCCGGGUCGGCUUGCUGAUGAGAACCGAUUUAAUCGCAGUGGCUUGAACCGGGCAAAAGUCGUAACAAGGUAGCUGUAGGUGAACCUGCUGCUGGAUCAUUACCCACGUGAUCAUAUUCACCACCUACCUGGUGUGGGUUUUGCUUUUCCUGAAUCGGAAGCGCCCCGCCUGCCCUGAGGGCUUGCUUGCAAGUUUAUGUAAGGAUGGGUGUUGUUCAGCUACAGUGAGCGCACGCUUCCCUCCACAUAUAUACGAUUGUCAAUGUGUGAACGAGGAGAAGAGUCCAAGCAAUCUAAUAACCGGCUAGGUAUUGGUGAACUGUCCUGUGCUGAAUAACUUGCCCUCGGGGCGCAUAACGGCUGCGCUGGCGUCUGUGCGUUGUUGAGCAGUUGUUGUGCGCAUGGAACGUGGAGAUAUAAUCGGAGCACUCCGGCAUGGACCUGUAGGCCAACUGGGUCGUCCAUGUCUUACAUGCUGUAAUUGUGGUGUGUUUCCCGCUAUUCUCUGACGACAUGUGUACUACGUCCGUGGCUGUGAUGAGACGACGCGGUAGGACCCGUGCACGAGUUGCGCGUGGUUUAAGACUCGAUGAGCUCAAAGUUAAGAGCCGCCAGCAUCCUUUUUUUCAUUUAAAUUUUUUGUUGCACCUGAAUGGUGCUUGAA
rnacentral:rRNA from 1 species